CCCGGCCGCUUCCCUCUGAGGACCCCGGAGGCUCAGGCUUCCCCCGGUAUUCGCUACAGCAUUCUCCUCACACCAGGCUGCGCCAUUUUAGGAGGGCUUCGUGUUCCCGGCGGCCAUUAUGGAGUCUCC